rnacentral:hammerhead_ribozyme from 1 species
AUCCAGCCGAUGAGUCCCAAAUUGGACGAAACGCGCGUCCUGGAU